AGUGAACGCUGGCGGCAUGCCUAACACAUGCAAGUCGAACGGUAACAGGCCCGCAAGGGUGCUGACGAGUGGCGGACGGGUGAGGAAUACAUCGGAAUCUGCCCGGUUGUGGGGGAUAAC
rnacentral:rRNA from 1 species